rnacentral:rRNA from 1 species
GAUGAACGCUGGCGGCGUGCCUAAUACAUGCAAGUCGAGCGAACAGACGAGGAGCUUGCUCCUCUGACGUUAGCGGCGGACGGGUGAGUAACACGUGGAUAACCUACCUAUAAGACUGGGAUAACUUCGGGAAACCGGAGCUAAUACCGGAUAAUAUAUUGAACCGCAUGGUUCAAUAGUGAAAGACGGUUUUGCUGUCACUUAUAGAUGGAUCCGCGCCGCAUUAGCUAGUUGGUGAGGUAACGGCUUACCAAGGCAACGAUGCGUAGCCGACCUGAGAGGGUGGUCGGCCACACUGGAACUGAGACACGGUCCAGACUCCUACGGGAGGCAGCAGUAGGGAAUCUUCCGCAAUGGGCGAAAGCCUGACGGAGCAACGCCGCGUGAGUGAUGAAGGUCUUCGGAUCGUAAAACUCUGUUAUUAGGGAAGAACAAAUGUGUAAGUAACUAUGCACGUCUUGACGGUACCUAAUCAGAAAGCCACGGCUAACUACGUG